GGAAUCUUCCACAAUGGGCGAAAGCCUGAUGGAGCAACGCCGCGUGUGUGACGAAGGCUUUCGGGUCGUAAAGCACUGUUGUAUGGGAAGAACAGCUAGAAUAGGGAAUGAUUUUAGUUUGACGGUACCAUACCAGAAAGCCACGGCUAACUACGUGCCAGCAGCCGCGGUAAUACGUAGGUGGCAAGCGUUGUCCGGAUUUAUUGGGCGUAAAGCGAGCGCAGGCGGUUUCUUAAGUCUGAUGUGAAAGCCCCCGGCUCAACCGGGGAGGGUCAUUGGAAACUGGGAGACUUGAGUGCAGAAGAGGAGAGUGGAAUUCCAUGUGUAGCGGUGAAAUGCGUAGAUAUAUGGAGGAACACCAGUGGCGAAGGCGGCUCUCUGGUCUGUAACUGACGCUGAGGCUCGAAAGCGUGGGGAGCGAACA
rnacentral:rRNA from 1 species